rnacentral:rRNA from 1 species
AUGGAGCCCGGAAAGAGGGAGACAUGGCGGACGACGAUGUUGCUGGCGUACCAGAGCCUGGGGGUGGUGUACGGGGACCUGAGCAUCUCCCCGCUCUACGUCUACAAGAGCACCUUCGCCGACGACAUCACGCACACCGACUCCAACGACGAGAUCCUCGGCGUCCUCUCCUUCGUCUUCUGGACGCUCACCCUCAUCCCGCUCCUCAAGUACGUCUCCAUCGUGCUCCGCGCCGACGACAACGGCGAGGGCGGCACCUUCGCGCUCUACUCCCUCAUCUGCCGCCACGCCAACGUCAGCCUCCUCCCCAACCGCCAGCUCGCCGAUCAGGAGCUCUCCACCUACAGCCUCGAGCGCCCCCCCGAGGAGGUCGCCCACGGCUCCCGCGUCAGGCGAUGGCUCGAGGCGCACCGCAGCCUCAAGACCGCCCUGCUCGUCAUGGUCAUGAUCGGGACCUGCAUGGUCAUCGGCGACGGCGUCCUCACCCCCGUCAUCUCCGUGUUCUCGGCUGUUUCUGGGCUUGAGCUCUCCUUGUCCAAGCAUCAGCAUGAAUAUGCCGUCACUCCGAUAACAUGUGCCAUAAUAGUGUUCCUGUUCGCUCUCCAGCAUUACGGCACCCACCGCGUCGGGUUUCUCUUCGCUCCGAUAAUUCUGGCCUGGCUGAUCUGCAUGAGCGCACUCGGCGUGUACAAUAUCAUCAAAUGGAACCCCCAGGUUUACAUGGCACUCAAUCCCGUGUACAUGUUCAAAUUCUUGAAGAAGACCAAGAAGUCUGGCUGGAUGUCCCUGGGAGGGAUUCUGCUCUGCAUGACAGGAUCUGAAGCAAUGUUUGCAGAUCUUGGCCAUUUCUCCUACAGUGCAAUCCAGUUUGCUUUUACUUCUUUGGUGUACCCUGCACUGAUCCUAGGAUACAUGGGUCAAGCUGCCUAUUUAACCAAACACCAUGACUUCGACUCAAGCUACCAAAUUGGAUACUACAUCUCAGUUCCAGAGGCUGUGAGGUGGCCGGUGCUGGUGCUGGCGAUCAUGGCGUCGGUGGUGGGAAGCCAAGCGAUCAUCAGCGGCACCUUCUCCAUCAUCAACCAGAGCCAGGCCCUCAGCUGCUUCCCGCGGGUGAAGGUCGUGCACACAUCGGCGAAGGUCCAUGGCCAGAUCUACAUCCCGGAGAUCAACUGGAUGCUCAUGGUGCUCUGCAUCGCCGUCACCGUGGGCUUCCGCGACACCAAGCACAUGGGGAACGCGUCGGGGCUGGCGGUGAUCACGGUCAUGCUGGUCACCACCUGCCUGACGUCGCUGGUCAUGAUGCUGUGCUGGCACCGGCCGCCGGCGCUGGCGCUCGCCUUCUUCGUCUUCUUCGGCUCCAUCGAGGCGCUCUACUUCUCGGCGUCGCUCACCAAGUUCCUCGACGGCGCGUGGGUGCCGCUCCUCCUGGCGCUCAUCCUCGUCGCCGUCAUGUUCGUGUGGCACCACACCACCGUCAAGAAGUACGAGUUCGACCUGCACAACAAGGUCACCAUGGAGUGGCUCCUCGCGCUCUGCGACAGGCUCGGCAUGGUCCGCGUCCCCGGCAUCGGCCUCGUCUACACCGACCUCACCUCCGGCGUGCCCGCCAACUUCUCCCGCUUCGUCACCAACCUCCCGGCCUUCCACCGCGUGCUCGUCUUCGUCUGCGUCAAGUCCGUGCCCGUGCCGCGGGUGCUCCCCGCCGAGCGCUACCUCGUCGGCCGCGUCGGCCCGCCGGGCCACCGCUCGUACCGAUGCAUCGUGCGCUACGGGUACCGGGACGUGCACCAGGACGUGGACUCGUUCGAGACGGAGCUCGUGGAGAGCCUCGCGUCCUUCAUCCGGCUGGACGCGCUCUUCCGGUGCAGCGACGCCCGCAGCGACGCCGACUACGAGCGCGAGAACGCGUUCACCGUCAUUGGCAGCAACCCGCUCCGGCGCCGCAUCAGCUACGACGACACCCACGACAGCGCGUCGUCCGUGGAGAUACGCGUGGAAAGCCCGGCCGGCAGCAACGGGGCGAACACCAUUGAACUCGCGUCCGUGCCGGCAGCGGCGCCGCGGGUGGUGAAGAGGGUGAGGUUCCUGGUGGACCCCGGGAGCCCCGAGGUGGAGGACAAGCAGAUGCUGGAGGAGCUCCACGAGCUGUGCGAGGCGAGGGAGGCCGGCACGGCCUUCAUCAUGGGCCACUCCCACGUGAAGGCCAAGCCCGGGUCGUCGCUGCUCAGGAGGCUGGCCAUCGGGUACGGCUACAACUUCCUGCGCCGGAACUGCCGCGGCCCGGACGUCGUGCUGCGCGUGCCGCCGGCGUCGCUGCUCGAGGUCGGCAUGGUCUACGUGCUGUGA